UGAGGAAUAUUGGUCAAUGGACGAGAGUCUGAACCAGCCAAGUAGCGUGCAGGAUGACGGCCCUAUGGGUUGUAAACUGCUUUUGUUUGGGAAUAAUCGACAUUACGUGUAAUGUUUUGCAUGUACCAUUCGAAUAAGGACCGGCUAAUUCCGUGCCAGCAGCCGCGGUAAUACGGAAGGUCCAGGCGUUAUCCGGAUUUAUUGGGUUUAAAGGGAGUGUAGGCGGUUGGUUAAGCGUGUUGUGAAAUGUAGAUGCUCAACAUCUGACUUGCAGCGCGAACUGGCUGACUUGAGUACACACAACGUAGGCGGAAUUCAUGGUGUAGCGGUGAAAUGCUUAGAUAUCAUGAAAAACUCCGAUUGCGAAGGCAGCUUACGGGAGUGUUACUGACGCUUAAGCUCGAAGGUGCGGGUAUCGAACAGG
rnacentral:rRNA from 1 species